rnacentral:rRNA from 1 species
AGGUUGACCUCGGAUCAGGUAGGGAUACCCGCUGAACUUAAGCAUAUCAAUAAGCGGAGGAAAAGAAACCAACCGGGAUUGCCCUAGUAACGGCGAGUGAAGCGGCAAGAGCUCAAAUUUGAAAGCUGGCUCCUUCGGGGUCCGCAUUGUAAUUUGCAGAGGAUGCUUCGGGAACGGCCCCCAUCUAAGUGCCCUGGAACGGGCCGUCAUAGAGGGUGAGAAUCCCGUCUGGGAUGGGGUGUCCGCGCCCGUGUGAAGCUCCUUCGACGAGUCGAGUUGUUUGGGAAUGCAGCUCUAAUUGGGUGGUAAAUUUCAUCUAAAGCUAAAUAUUGGCCGGAGACCGAUAGCGCACAAGUAGAGUGAUCGAAAGAUGAAAAGCACUUUGAAAAGAGAGUUAAACAGCACGUGAAAUUGUUGAAAGGGAAGCGCUUGCGACCAGACUCGCCCGCGGGGUUCAGCCGGCAUUCGUGCCGGUGUACUUCCCCGCGGGCGGGCCAGCGUCGGUUUGGGCGGCCGGUCAAAGGCCCCUGGAAUGUAACGCCUCUCGGGGCGUCUUAUAGCCAGGGGUGCCAUGCGGCCUGCCCGGACCGAGGAACGCGCUUCGGCUCGGACGCUGGCAUAAUGGUCGUAAGCGACC